CGUAGGCCUUGUCUUCCUUCUACCAAGAUGCGAUCAUCUACUAUCAUUUUGCUUCUCGUCGCCUCUGCUCUGCUCGCCUUUGUGGCUGCUCACGAGGAGAAGCUUCCUCCCCAACCCUUCCGCUAAUUGAACGUCCACUACCAUUUCCCAAUUGGAAACCAACAUACCAACUAAAAAAGAAAACAUCAAGAAAUAAAAUAAACAUCCCCCCAUCACUACCCACUACCACCACUACCCCACCCUUUCAAAGAGCUCUAUUCAUUUAGUUAGAAGAUCCACUAAACCCCAGACAGCUAAACCCUUAGAAAAAAAUCAAGAAAUAAAAUAAAAUAAGUAAAUCUCCACCACCACCUCCCAGUGGAUCCCAAUCUGGACAAUCCGGAGAAACAGGAUCAGGAGGAGCUAGGUCUAUCCAUUUACUUAGAAGAUCCACUAAACCCCAGACAGCUAAACCCUUAGAAAAAAAUCAAGAAAUAAAAUAAAAUAAGUAAAUCUCCACCACCACCUCCCAGUGGAUCCCAAUCUGGACAAUCCAAAGAAACAGGAUCAGGAGGAGCUAGGUCUAUCCAUUUAGUUAGAAGAUUGAAGAAUUAUGAUAAUUAUCAAAAAAUCCUGUAAAUCUCUGUUGUCAUGUCAACUAAUUCUAUUGUUAUGUUUUUUUAUUCUAAUAAAAUAUUUCAUAAUAAAUUGAUUAUAUUUUCAA